UGGAAGUGAUGAAAUAGAGAUAAUUGGAUGUCUCUCCGAAUGGAGUGUGUGUGAUAAGUGAAUGUAAACCAAGUCAGAUUGGGGGUGGGCUGUGGGGAAUUGUGUGUGUGUGUGCGUGCAUGCGCAUGUAUAGAAAAGGCUUUGAACGGGGGCACUGAUAAUGCAGUGCUGAUUCCGGAGUGCAUCUGAGGCAUGUUGUUAAGUUCUGGGGUGUCACUUCACAACAUUGCCAAUGAUUAAAGCCCAAAACAAGCCCACCAAGACAAGCCUAGGCAUCCUAAAUCUCUGACAGGUUCACUAAUGAAAGUGAUCCUGUGAUCUGAUCCAU
rnacentral:snoRNA from 1 species